rnacentral:rRNA from 1 species
UUUGGCUCAGGAUGAACGCUGGCGGCGUGCCUAACACAUGCAAGUCGAACGAAACUGAUUUCAUGAAACUUCGGUAGAUUGGAUGAAAGUUGAGUGGCGGACGGGUGAGUAACACGUGGGCAACCUGCCUCACAGAGGGGGAUAGCAGUUGGAAACGACUGAUAAUACCGCAUAAGCACACAGUACCGCAUGGUACAGGGUGAAAAGAUUUAUCACUGUGAGAUGGACCCGCGUCUGAUUAGCCAGUUGGCAGGGUAACGGCCUACCAAAGCGACGAUCAGUAGCCGACCUGAGAGGGUGACCGGCCACAUUGGGACUGAGACACGGCCCAGACUCCUACGGGAGGCAGCAGUGGGGAAUA